UGUAGGAGUGAGCCUGCUCGCGAUGGCGUCAGAUCAGUCACCCUCGUCGUCGGCUGAUAAAUCGCCAUCGCGAGCAGGCUCACUCCUACA
rnacentral:misc_RNA from 1 species